GAGUACACUUUUUCUAUUUCACAAACGUACUAAAUUAGAUAUGUAUCAUAAAUAAAAUAUCCCUAAAAAAUAACAAAGAAAGUGAAAACUAAUUCUGAAAAAUAAAAAUAUAAUUUUGAAUAAAAGUUAGAGUCCAAUAUAAGAAAGAAAGAAAAAAUUGCCAAGGUAAACCUAGCAACAUUGUCCAUGUUGUACUCUUAAAAAAUUAUUUCAAAAGAUUUUUGUGUUUUUUUUAAAUUUGGAUAGUCUUUUUUUCAUUUUUCUUGCUAGAUAGCAUGGAUUCUUUUACAAAAUGGGACUUACAUAUUUUCUUCACUCUUUUCAAGCAAUCAAAUAGAGGCAACACAUUUUUUUUAGUCCUUUUGUUUCCCCUCACUCCUUUCAUCUUCUUUUCACAUAAACCAAACAAUGCAUUUUAGUUUUGGAAUUAGGUUAUCUUUUGUUGUUCAUG
rnacentral:lncRNA from 1 species